AGGGACUUCCGUCUUAGUACGAGACUUCCGCUUCUUUUUCUCGCUGCCUUUUCCACGCUUGGUGGUUCCCGCUUCUCCUUCUCUUCCCUGAGCUGACGUGUGACGGGCUCUACCUUCGAUGGCCUCUGCUCUGCCCUAGGAGGACAGCCUGGAGGAAGAGGGAAUGGCUCCUGCCCUGACUUCCAGGCCCGGGAAGGAAUCAGUCACAUUCAAGGAUGUGGCUGUGGAUUUCACUCCAGAGGAGUGGGUACAAUUGAACUCAUCUCAGAAAAAGUUGUAU